AUGGAUCUUUAUCGCAUUUGCUCAUAUGAUGUCUGGAUGGGGCAUACAUGGAUCUCAGCCACAAGUAUAAAGCUUAUAGGAGAAGUCUGGCAAGUGGCAUUUCACAUAUGCACACUGACAUAUGGCCUAAUAGCCCCAGACAUAUACACACUGUCAUUGUUGGUUUCACUUGUAGGUUAAGCACCACUGAGUGAAGGGAUGAGAACCUGUCCUCUGGUUGGUAAGCUCUUGCUGAUCUGAGUCAAUCAGAGCACCUCUGAACUGUAUUGUCCAAUGAUUACUCAGUUCACUGAAGUCAAAAAUCAAAGCUCAGAAGUGGGUCUGAAGAUAUUCAUAAGUUUUCAGAAUUUAGCCUGAGUUAAGAACUAGGGGGCUGGACACUUGGCAAUGGGCAGUAAGAGGGAAAUGAAGCACAGAGUGCAUGCACAGCCCUGAUGGACACUACUAGCAAAGAAAAAUCCAGUGUUGCACGUAUGUGAUUCAUGCACACCUAGAGUGGGACCCAUGCUGACACAAACUCAGAGAAGAACCUCAGUUAUGCCCACAAAUAAUUGUGGAUACAAUUUUGUAUUCACAAUUUUUAAUGCCUACAAAAUCAUAGACCAAAAUAUGGAAGCCUUGUUAAGGCUGGACUGAAAAUGAGGCCAAUGUUACUAAUUUAUUAGAACUUAGUCAUGUACAAUCAACAGGAUUUUUAUAAAAAUAGAAUCUGGUGCUACAUUUAAUUGUUAUUUAGGUCUUUAAAAAGUGGGAAGAUCUAUCUUUUUCAUCCUGUAAUUAUUACCUUGGUAUCUGAGCUAUUAAUAGCAGCUUAGUAGUAUUAUUUUUAAAGUGACACCGCAAGGCAAAAAAUCAUGGGCCAAAUCCCCAGCUGGUAUAAACUGAUGCGUCUCCAUUUAAGUGAUUGGUGUUUUGGUGAUAAAAUCUUAGUCCAAAUUAGGAUACAGGCCAACGAAAUGGGAGCUAUACCAGUUUACACUUGCUGAUUAUGUAGAUUGUGGCAGUGCCAAAAUAUGCUAGGCACUCUCCAAACACAGAGGAUAAAUUUUAAUUAGAAUCUACAAUUAUAAAUAUAAAGGUACUGCCAGAUAUUGUGAUGACUCGGCAGAAAAACACAAUGGCAGUCAGCAAGGUCUCUACCUCAACAUUUAGCCUUUGUUCUAAGGAAACAAAAUAAAUUAAUCUGAUCAGAAUGAGGAAUAGGAAUCUCCCCAGGUUGACGUUCACCGCUCAUUUCAGGUGCUGAAGUCUAACUUCCCAAAGGCAUUUUCCUUCUCCUCCUGACUUCCUAUGCAUCUAUGCAAGAGGACUGAAGAGGACCUGAAGGUUAACCAAAGGAGAUUCAGUUAACAGAUCCUGUGGUUUUGGAAGGGCCAUCCAUUUACUUACGAAUUCUUCCAGCCAAACCUGUCAGUUUUAACAAACACUUCAUACACACCCAAAGUAAAGAAUGCUCCAUAACCAUCCAGAAAUAGAAGGCGACAGAGGGUCACUGGGAUUACAUCAGCCUAGCAAAAGUCAACUUAUUUUUUCGAAUCAUCAUUUCUUUUUGUUGUCAAAUCACAACGGCCACUGCCACAACCAGCACUCUUGUUGGCAGUCUUGGGAGAGAGGCCAAGGACUGCAUGGGCCUGGAAACAGAAUCGUCAUCUCAUCCCUGCUAGAGAUGGUUCCUCCAAGCCAGCUUUGAUGAAUUCUAAAAAUUGCAUAAUUGCCUAACUUUGUUGGAGAUCCCAAGAAACGUGUGGUAUUUGGAAACAUACAAACUGUCUGUUUGCAUACUGAGCCAUGGGGAAUGGAGAGAUUGUGACAUCAACAAGAGGAAGAAACAAACAGCCGUGGGUGUCCAGUUUAUGAAUAAAGGCAAAGGACUGGUCUAGCAUAGCAAAGAGACACACUGACUUUCACCUAGGUGGCAAACUGACAGUGUGCCUGUCUCAUGAAAGAAGUGUCAUGGCCUGCCUGGCUGUAAAGCGCUGCAAGGAUUUUGGAUGUGCAAUACUUUAUUAGACACGAGAGUAUCUCAUUAAAUUAAGUCUACACUGUGUGUUAUGAUUUUAUAUGUAACCAUUUAUUGCCAGUAUUCCUAUUUGAAUCUCUGUGUGUUGUUAAAUACACUUAUACUUGAUUUCACUACCAACAAAUCUAAGUGCUGUGAGGUAAGCGGAGCAGUGAGCCGAGAUGGAACUGGUAAGCUGGGCGUCCUGCUUCUUUGGAAGUGGUGGAUCAGUGAAUAUUGCAAA